rnacentral:rRNA from 1 species
CACCUUGUUUCCUUUCUAGAAACAAACAUUGGUCAACUUAAAAAAAAGAAACAAGUGCCGGUGACCACCAGAGACCAUCUUAGCGCACCUUUUUUUCCUUUCUAGAAACAAUACUGGUCAAUCCAUUUGACCAACUAGUGACUACGCUGACGCUGCGCACAAAAGUAGGCUGUGAAUCUUGAAUUGUCACAGCAAAUCACCACAUGCCAACGAUAAAUCCGUGCAAACCCACAUGCAAGAAUCCAUAAAUCCGUGCGCACAAAAGUACUUUUCCAUGGCAAACUUUCCCGGGCCCUUCCUCUGCUUCGGAGCACCCAAUCAGCCCAAGAAGAGUCAAAGCACUCUGAGGGCUCUGGGCUGCCGGCGAAAUGCUUAUAUACAGUGCCUCCUCCACCUCCAGGGACAGGAACUACACAUGGCACGGUGCAGGCUGGGCUCGUCGAGCACACCAGCAGCGCAAGCUGUAGCUGCCAGGAAAUGGACGCGACAGCAGAAGCUCGCAGCGGAGAAGGAGCAAGCCACGGCGGCGAGCAAGAAAAAGAUGACCAGACGGAGAAGAAGGUGUCGUUGCUCGGCAUGUUCAGGUACGCCGACAGCCUCGACGUGCUGCUCAUGGUGGUCGGCUCGCUGGGGGCGGUGGGCAACGGCGUGGCGGGGUCCCUCAUGUUGGUCGUCUUUGGAGACGCCAUCAACUCCUUCGGGGAGAGCACCACCAGCACCGUCCUCCCCGCUGUCACCAAGGUUGUUCUCAACUUCGUAUAUUUGGGCAUUGGGAUAGCAGUUGCUUCCUUUCUUCAGAUGUCAUGCUGGACAAUGUCAGGAGAAAGGCAGUCAGCCCGCAUCCGUUCUUUGUACCUGAAAUCAGUUCUGAGGCAAGAUAUUGCAUUUUUCGACAUAGAAAUGACAACUGGUGAAGCAGUUUCUAGAAUGUCUAGCGAUACGGUCAUAAUUCAAGAUGCUCUUGGUGAGAAGGGAGGGAAGCUUGUACAAGCCAUAUCUGCCUUCUUUGGGGGUUUUAUCAUAGCAUUCACAAAAGGCUGGCUCCUGACUCUUGUCAUGCUAACGUCACUACCAUUAGUUGCUAUCGCCGGUGCAGUGUCUGCACAGCUGCUAACCCGGGUUUCUAGCAAGCGACUAACAUCGUAUAGUGAUGCUGCAGACACAGUUGAACAGACAAUUAGAUCUAUACGAACAGUGAGUUCAAAUUAUAUUAGUCAUUCGAAAUUAUAUCAAUUAUCUCAACUAAGACAAAUGAUAGCAAACAUUAAUUUAGCAACCCACGUGUAAUCAGGUUGUGUCCUUCAAUGGAGAGAAGAAAGCUAUAGAAAUGUAUAAUAAAUUCAUAAAGAAAGCCUACAAGACUGCUGUUGAGGAAGGCCUUGUCAAUGGUUUUGGCAUGGGCUCUGUCUUCUGCAUCAUAUUUAGCAGCUAUGGUCUAGGGUUCUGGUAUGGUGGAAAGCUAAUCAUUGACAAAGGAUACACUGGAGGGAAGAUCGUCAUUGUUUUGUUUGCCGUAAUGACUGGUGCAACUUCAUUAGGUAGUGCAACACCAUCAAUUUCUGCAAUUGCGGAAGGUCAAUCUGCAGCAUACAGACUGUUCGAAACAAUAGAGAGGAAACCUGAAAUAGAUUCAGAUGAUAUGAGUGGCAUGGUCUUGGAAAAUAUCAAGGGUGAUGUUGAGCUAAAGGAUGUGUACUUUCGCUACCCUGCAAGACCCGGGCAGUUAAUAUUAGAUGGAUUAUCAUUACAAGUAGCCAGUGGAACAACAAUGGCCAUAGUUGGAGAGAGUGGAAGUGGCAAGUCAACUGUUAUCAGCCUAGUUGAAAGAUUCUAUGAUCCACAGGCUGGCGAAGUUUUGAUAGAUGGAGUCAACAUCAAGAAUCUGAGUCUUGAUUGGAUAAGAGGGAAGAUCGGCCUUGUUAGCCAAGAACCAUUGUUGUUUAUGACCUCUAUUAAAGAUAACAUAAUCUAUGGUAAAGAAAAUGCAACACUUGAAGAGAUCAAGAGAUCAGCCGAGCUUGCAAAUGCAGCAAAUUUCAUCGAUAAGUUACCAAAUGGCUACGAUACAUUGGUUGGCCAACGUGGCACUCUACUUUCUGGAGGACAAAAGCAAAGAAUUGCAAUUGCGAGAGCCAUCCUUAAAGAUCCAAAAAUCCUUUUGCUAGAUGAAGCAACAAGUGCAUUGGAUGUGGAAUCUGAGAGGAUAGUCCAGGAGGCAAUCAAUAGGAUAUUGGUAGAAAGAACCACACUUGUCGUUGCUCAUCGUUUGAGCACUGUAAGGAAUGUUGACUGCAUCACAGUCGUUCAUCAAGGGAAAAUAGUCGAACAAGGUCCACAUCAUGCAUUGGUAAAGGAUCCCAAUGGAGCUUACUCCCAGCUUAUUAGGCUACAAGAAACUCGUGGUGAUGAAAGACGUAAAAUACAGGAUUCCGAAGUGCCCAAUUCCUUAUCAAAAAGCACUAGUUUGUCAGUUAGACGGUCAAUGACUAAUGUUUCUUUUGGCAAUAGCAACAGACACUCCUUCAAGAACACAUUAGGACUAUCAGUUGAGUUGCAUGAGGAUGCAAUCACAGAUGAACAGAACAAUGAGGACCUUCCCGAUGGGAUGACCCUUCAGAAAGAAGCAGUUGGACGCCUUUUUUAUCUUAACAAACCGGAGGUACCAUUUUUUCUGCUCGGCGCUAUAGCAGCAUCAGUGCAUGGAGUCAUUUUGCCAUUGUACGGCCUACUAAUGUCUGGCAGUAUAAAAUCAUUCUACGAGCCACCAGAUAAGCUGCGAAAAGAUUCUAGCUUUUGGGCAUUGAUAUUUGUAGUUCUGGGGAUUGCAUCUUUCAUUGCAAUCACAGCAGAAUAUCUUUUGUUUGGAAUUGCUGGUGGCAAGCUUAUAGAGCGUGUUCGUACUCUGUCAUUUCAAAAUAUUGUGCAUCAGGAAGUUGCUUGGUUUGAUAAUCCCUCAAAUUCCAGUGGUGCACUUGGUACACGACUCUCAGUUGACGCAUUAAACGUUCGGCGCUUAGUAGGAGAUAACCUGGGCCUUAUAGUACAGUUUGCAUAUGAGAAUUAACAAUCAUUGGAUGUUUUUCAGGUUUUCCUUGUCUUAGUUUUGGCAACUCUUGGGGUUUCGCAGGCAAGUGCAUUGGCAUGUAAUGCGACAAAAGCAAAGGAUUCAGCCAUUUCUGUUUUCAGUAUUCUAGAUCGGAAGUCAAAAAUCAAUACAAAUAGCGAUGAGGGCAUGAUGCUGGAAAAUGUCACUGGCGACAUUGAAUUCAGUAAUGUCAGUUUCAAGUACCCAUCACGGCCUGAUGUCCAAAUAUUCAGUGACUUUACUUUGCACAUUCCUUCCAGAAAGACCAUAGCACUAGUUGGAGAGAGUGGUAGUGGAAAGUCCACAAUAAUUUCUUUACUGGAGCGUUUCUAUGAUCCUGAUUCUGGUAGUAUCUCAGUAGAUGGAGUCGAGAUUAAGAGCCUGAAAAUUAGCUGGUUAAGGGAUCAGAUGGGGCUGGUAGGCCAGGAGCCAGUUCUUUUCAACGACACAAUCCGUGCAAACAUAACAUACGGGAAACACGGGGAGGUGACAGAGGAAGAGGUUACGGGUGUGGCCAAGGCAGCAAAUGCUCAUGAGUUUAUAUCAAGCUUGCCACAGGGAUACGACACUCUGGUUGGCGAGAAAGGAGUGCAACUAUCUGGUGGACAGAAGCAGCGGGUAGCCAUCGCAAGGGCCAUUAUAAAGGACCCGAAGAUACUACUGCUUGACGAGGCGACCAGCGCCCUGGACGCGGAAUCAGAGCGCAUCGUUCAGGACGCGUUGGAUCGAGUCAUGGUGAGCAGGACCACCAUAGUGGUGGCGCACCGCCUCUCCACAAUCAAAGGGGCUGAUGCGAUUGCGGUCCUCAAGGAAGGCAAAAUUGCAGAAAAGGGAAAUCAUGAGGCCCUGAUGCGGAUCCAGGAUGGAGUCUAUGCUUCGCUAGUAGAACUUCGCUCAAAUUCCAAGUAGAACUGUGUAUAUUUGACAUUCAUUAUUUUCCUUUUGAUUCUUACUACUCCCUCCGUACCAAAAUAUAAGACGUAUUUGAACUACAAAAACGUCUUAUAUUUUGGUAGAGGGAGUACAUCCGUUUGUUCCUAGUACAAUUAUUUUGCCAGGCAAUACAGUGUUUUGUGAUUUGAGAAGUGAAUGCAACAUGGUUACCCGUAUGCAAGCCGACAUCAAUAAAUAAUUGCUUUUAAAUACUAACUAAAAACUGCAGCAGUAUUGGUAG